rnacentral:rRNA from 1 species
AUACGUAGGGGGCGAGCGUUGUCCGGAAUGAUUGGGCGUAAAGGGCGCGUAGGCGGCCUGUUAAGUCUGGAGUGAAAGUCCUGUUUUCAAGAUGGGAAUUGCUUUGGAUACUGAUGGGCUUGAGUGCAGGAGAGGUUAUCGGAAUUCCCGGUGUAGCGGUGAAAUGCGUAGAGAUCGGGAGGAACACCAGUGGCGAAGGCGGGUAACUGGGCUGCAACUGACGCUGAGGCGCGAAAGUGUGGGGAGCAAACAGGAUUAGAUACCCUGGUAGUCCACACUGUAAACGAUGAAUGCUAGGUGUAAGAGGUAUCGACCCCUUUUGUGCCGGAGUUAACACAAUAAGCAUUCCGCCUGGGGAGUACGGCCGCAAGGUUGAAACUCAAAUGAAUUGACGGGG